GGUAUGUAGCUUAGUGGUAGAGUGUUUGCCUAGUAUGUAUGAAGCCUGGGUUCAAUCCCUAGUUCCAUAUUA
rnacentral:tRNA from 1 species